ensembl:lncRNA
GGCUGUUGUUUUUCAAGGCAACGAUGGAGGCAAAGCGCCAGCAGGCCCUAGUCCCAGUGAUUUGCUUAGAAAAGCUCUGGGACAAGAGAGAUGGUAUUUUCUAGUCUGCACUGGUGACAUCUGUAGCAAGCCAGUUGGAGAAAACCAGUCUCCCUCCAGGUUCAGCGGCUG